rnacentral:rRNA from 1 species
UACGUAGGCAGCAAGCGUUGUUCGGAAUUACUGGGCGUAAAGAGCGUGUAGGCGGUUAGGUAGGUCCGUUGUGAAAACUCGAGGCUCAACCUCGAGACGCCGAUGGAAACCCCCUAACUAGAGUCCGGAAGAGGAGAGUGGAAUUCCUGGUGUAGCGGUGAAAUGCGCAGAUAUCAGGAAGAACACCCGUGGCUAAGGCGGCUCUCUAGUACGGUACUGACGCUGAGACGCGAAAGCGUGGGGAGCGAACAGG